UGAUCCUGUGACUAUCCAGCUUAGAUGGAAGGAAAAACAUUGUUCAUAUCAAAUUGGUAGUUGCUCUAUUAUUCCUGCAAGGACUAUUCACGUGCUUGAUCCUGUGACUAUCCAGCUUAGAUGGAGCGAGUGUCGUUGGCACAUCCUUUGUUGCGUUAAGUUUUUCCAAUGCAGUCAGAACAUCAAUCAUUGGUGGCCUAUUUUUGGGAUCUGUGUGCAGGCAUUGCAAUGCGAGUGCAGCUGCAGCUUGGGCUCCUUUCUUGGAGUACUGACCUCCCAAUCUGGUGUCCAUGAUUCUCAAAACUCGCCUGGGGUCACUCAGGAAAGGUUUUGCCCAAUCUACCAGAGUUUCUUCAACAAAAUUGGCUCUCUCAUCAUCCAUUGCCCUUCUUCCUGAUAGUAAUUCUAGCAUGACAACACCAAAGCUAUACACGUCGCUCUUUGGAGUCAAGUGACCUGUAGCUACAUAUUCUGGUGCAGCAUAACCCCGAGUUCC
rnacentral:misc_RNA from 1 species